rnacentral:rRNA from 1 species
GUGUCAGCCGCCGCGGUAAUACGGAGGGUGCAAGCGUUAUCCGGAUUUACUGGGUUUAAAGGGUGCGCAGGCGGAUAUGUAAGUCAGUGGUGAAAUCUCUGGGCUUAACUCAGAAACUGCCGUUGAUACUAUUUGUCUUGAAUAUCUUGGAGGUAAGCGGAAUAUGUCAUGUAGCGGUGAAAUGCUUAGAUAUGACAUAGAACACCGAUAGCGAAGGCAGCUUACUACAGGAAGAUUGACGCUGAGGCACGAAAGCGUGGGGAGCAAACAGGAUUAGAUACCCUAGUAGUCC